CGCAGUUUAGUUGAUGCACCGCACUACAUCGCGCCAGACACGCAAGGGGGCGCAGAGGUCGCCAUAUUGCUUCGAUUCGACUCAUUCCGCGGUAUCUGCACUUACUUGCAUAUGCACCCGACUUGCAACGCGGCUCUGAGUAUGUCUGUGAUUACGUCAGGUUUUCGGUUUUCAAAUAGCACUUUGCCAACAAAAAAACGUCGAAAAUGUCGAGUCGAGUGACCUCAGAGUUUGUGUAGUCGCGUUUUCAAAAAAAAAUAUCGCGAAAUUGACGGAGUUUGUGGUAAAAUUUAGUGCAGUGUUGUGGAUACGCAAUUUUUUCGGGCGUGAGCCUGAGGUGGUCAAGAAUUAUUGUGGCUUGUAUAUACCGGUAAGUGAAGUUGUUUUUUAUUAUUUAUUAUUGUUAUCGAAGUGUCGGUUACGUAUUUCCUUUCCACUCCCACAACUUCCCUGUACUUUUUUGCUUAACUUCAGGUUUUCCACUAAACGUCAUUAUAGGAUAUUUAUAUAAAAUAUAUGCGAUCUCAAUAAUUAUUGUAAUCUAGAUAUUACUAAAUACAGGUUUAAAAAUGUCUUCUUCUGUUUUCGACAGCUCACAACAGAUUCGCGAUAGAUUAGACAUAUACCUCUCUGGUCUCUGGAUGUCUUCUUACAAUAUGGCCGAAAUAUUGUAACUUUCGAAUGUUUAUUGUUUUCGUUAUUUCUGUGCUCUUUUUCAUUCGAGGUAAAACUAUAUCUAUAUCCAAAUAAAACUAUAUUUGAGGAUAGAUCCAUAUCUCAAUAAUCUCCAAGGGUUCCAACUUUAAGGUUUAGUAUAAUAUCACUAUUAUAAAUGGACUAGGAUGGAACUAAAGGACGACGACAAUGGCAA
rnacentral:lncRNA from 1 species